rnacentral:rRNA from 1 species
AUGAGAGGCUACAGAAUGGGCGCAUCAAUGUCAUGGUGGUUGCUACACCAGUCGAACACCUCUACAAGUGAUGAGGACAUCACUACCAUUGUUACACCCACAGCCCCUACCGCUACAUAUACUGGACCAAUUACUAGAGCUCGUGCACGCCAAUUAAAUUAUCAGGUACUUUCGUUUCUUGGUAAUGAUUCUAAUGUUCAUGAGAAUAUGAUGUUGCCUAAAUUGGAUAUAUUUGUUUUGCUUACAAAUAAAGGGCCUAGCAUGGAUAAGAGGGAAGAACAUUGGAGCAAGACCAAGCAUGGAGAUGAUGACAUGUGCAAGGGGAACAAGAACGAAGUUACAAGCGAUGAUUUCAGGAGUCUGAAGCCACCAUAA